rnacentral:rRNA from 1 species
UACAGAGGGGGCAAGCGUUAUUCGGAAUUAUUGGGCGUAAAGGGCGCGUAGGCGGCCUGGCAAGUGGAAGGUGAAAUCCCUCGGCUUAACCGAGGAACUGCCCUCCAAACUGCUUGGCUUGAGCCCGGGAGAGGUGAGUGGAAUUCCCAGUGUAGCGGUGAAAUGCGUAGAUAUCAGGAAGAACACCCGUGGCUAAGGCGGCUCUCUAGUACGGUACUGACGCUGAGACGCGAAAGCGUGGGGAGCGAACAGG